CCCUUAGAUGUUCUGGGCCGCACGCGCGCUACACUGAUGCAUUCAACGAGCACCCGCUGGGCCGAGAGGUCCGGCUAAUCUUUGAACGUGCAUCGUGCUGGGGAUAGAUGAUUGCAAUUAUUCAUCUUCAACGAGGAAUUCCUAGUAAACGCAAGUCAUCAGCUUGCAUUGAUUACGUCCCUGCCCUUUGUACACACCGCCCGUCGCUCCUACCGAUUGGAUGAUCCGGUGAGCUAUUCGGACCUUCGCUUCGUCGAUUUUCGGCUUUGUGAGGGAAAGUCUCGCGAACCUUAUCAUCUAGAGGAAGGAGAAGUCGUAACA
rnacentral:rRNA from 1 species